rnacentral:rRNA from 1 species
AGCGGCGAAUGGGUGAGUAACGCGUAGGUAAUCUGCCUUUAAGACUGGAAUAACCCGCCGAAAGGUGGGCUAAUACCAGAUAAUGUUGAUCUUUUUUGGAAGAUUAACCAAAGAUGGCCUCUACUUGUAAGCUAUCACUUAUAGAUGAGCCUGCGUACCAUUAGCUAGUUGGUGGGGUAAUGGCCUACCAAGGCAAAGAUGGUUAGCUGAUCUGAGAGGAUGAUCAGCCACACUGGAACUGAAACACGGUCCAGACUCCUACGGGAGGCAGCAGUGGGGAAUCUUGCGCAAUGAGCGAAAGCUUGACGCAGCAACGCCGUGUGGGUGAUGAAGGCCUUCGGGUUGUAAAGCCCUGUCGGAGGGGAAGAAUGAUUUCGUAACUAAUAAUUAUGGAAAAUGACGGUACCCUUAGAGGAAGCACCGGCUAACCACGUGCCAGCAGCCGCGGUAAUACGUGGGGUGCAAGCGUUGUUCGGAGUUACUGGGCGUAAAGCGCGUGUAGGUUGCUAAGUAAGUCAGAUGUGAAAUCCCUCAGCUCAACUGAGGAACUGCGUCUGAUACUGUUUAGCUAGAGUACGGGAGAGGAGGGUGGAAUUCCCAGUGUAGAGGUGAAAUUCGUAGAUAUUGGGAGGAACACCGGUGGCGAAGGCGACUCUCUGGACCGUAACUGACACUGAUACGCGAAAGCGUGGGGAUCAAACAGGAUUAGAUACCCUGGUAGUCCACGCCGUAAACGAUGGGUACUAGG